UUGUGAUAAGUAGGUUUGUAAUACGUCAUUUACUUUUCACUAUUAUUGAAGUCCGGCUACAACCUUGUCCGUCCAGGCGCAUUGAAAGGAUCUUCUAGCUGAGUGCCGAUCGAGUAGACUAGCCUAUCUGGAGCAAGAAAACGUUAUUCUUCUCACUUGUUUUGCUUGUUGAAGAAAAGAAAUGGCACUGUUGGGAGGAGAACCUUUGGUGGCGAAGCUUGCGGCGCUGGCGAAAUACGUGGUUCUUCCGGGAGCCAUGGUUGCUGCUCUGAUCUACUCACCUCCUCGGUACGGCUCUUCGAAGAGCGAAAAAUCUCCCAAAUAGAUCCUCGCUUCUCGGGCCAUUUUGGAUGCUUCCAGUUUCAUGCUAGCAGAUAUUAAUAAUUAUCCUUAACAUUCUCAAAGUUUGGUGCUAGGAAAUUGUUUAUUCUCUUUUAUGUAAUAAUAUUCCUGGCCUAGUAAUUACUGAAUUACAUGUGUAGUUGAGGGUUUGGAUGAUGUUCUAUUCAUAAGAAUUAUGAUCUGUGUCCUUUCCUGAACUUUCUUCGCUAUUUAAGUUCUAGCCAUUGAUAACA